GCCAACGUCGCUGAACACCAGAGCCUCCUCUCUCUGUCUCGCAAACAAACAAAAACAAUCAGAUUAUAUAUUUUUUAUUGUUUACAGCGUGAGAAGAGAAGGGUCAACUCAACUCAAUAAACCACCCUUUUACAUCAAUUACUGUUCGCACAUUCCAAACAGAAUAUCCAUUCAUUCAUUCAUUCGCGCUUUUUCUUCAUCCUUUUCCAUCUUGAUCCCCAUCAUGAAUUUUCCAAAUUCCGAAUCUCUCAACCCAAUUCAUGAAGGCUUCUGUUCUCAAUUCAGCGAUGAUUGAUUUAGUAUAACUACGGUGGUUGGAGGAUGCAAGCGGUGGGGAGGUUAGGCAGUUACAUUAGCCAAGGCGUGUACACUGUAUCAGCGCCCUUUCAUCCAUUCGGUGGUGCCGUUGAUAUCGUCGUCGUGGAGCAGCAAGAUGGGAGUUUCAAGUCUUCACCAUGGUACGUUCGAUUUGGGAAGUUUCAAGGGGUUUUGAAGGCCAAGGAGAAGGUUGUUCAGAUAUGUGUUAAUGGGGUUGAGGCUGAUUUCAAAAUGUAUCUUGGACAUAAUGGGGAGGCUUUCUUUCUCAGGGAAUUGGAUGUGGAACCUGAUUUGAUGUGUCCACCAUCUUCUGAUGAUGAGGUUGAUGUGGAUGAUGAUCAGUCUAUGAAACUCAGGUCUAAGACUUGUGAUGAGUUUGAUUCUGAGAAUGGUGGUACUAAGGUGGUUGUGGGUAGGACUGGUUCUCGCCGCUCCCGGAUACUUGGCCUUAUGUUUGGGCAAAGGUCUUUGAAGGAGGUGGAGGUUGAAAUGGGCCAAAUGGUUGGUGGGAAUAGGGCGAAUUCGAUGGACCGUGCUGAGAUUGCAGCUAAUCUUUUGGAGCUGAACUGGUCUACAAAUCUCCCCAGUCCAAAAUUUGAGGAUAGCUCCUCAAGGGAUCAUGACAUGCUCAUGGAUGAUGGUGAAUGUGACCCUAUUGGGAAAGUGCGUUCCUUUUCUGACUCUGACCUACAAGUUGCUUAUGUGGAGCUUGAAGCAAGCAUGGAUAAGCAAUUGAGUGGAGAAGGGGUUUCAGGUGCGAGCUCUUUUAUUGAUGCACAGGGUGGUGAUAUUUCUGAGGAGGAGGACAUUGCAGAGAGUUCCAAAGUGGGUGAGGAUAGUUCAAGUGAACGGGUUCGUGAGGUGCUGUACCUUGCUGAUGAAGGAAGUGGACAACUCCAUGUCGGUGACGAAGUCCUGCUUGCUGCAACUGUUUUGCUAUCUGAGGGUACAGAAACUGAGGAUGUCAUGAAGAAUGAUCUUGGAAUGCCAGUGAUGGAGGUCUCUGAGUUUCAUCAUCAAGUUCAGCUGACAGCUUGUUCUGGUCCUGAUGUUGAAGACACAACAACAACUCCAAAAUCUCAAAUUGUCAAUAUAGAUCAAGGACAUUGUUCAAUUGAGAACAUUGAGUCAAACGGUGUCACCAAACCUCACAAUUGCAGCAGCCAGGAUGACCAAACCCUAGAUGAGAAUAAUAGGAAGGAGAAAGAUUUCUUCAGCGUGUUAUCUUCUCCUCAGGACUCUAUUGGUGAUAGUUUAUCUAGAAAAGCAUCAACGAGCUUACUACCACCUAGUUCAGCAGAAGAAAAUUUCCUUUUUGGCGACCUUGAUGAAGGUAUAAUCAAUGAUCAAUUUGAGGAAUCACGCUCCCCUAAAUAUGUAGAUAAAGAAGAUCAUCUUUCUUGUGAGAACGACGCGGAAAAGUUAAGAGUAACAUCCAGUCCCAUAGUUAUCCCGAGAAAUGAGGAUGCUGGGGAAGAAGUUGUGAAGCGCACAGAAUCCUUGCCAAAUAUUUAUUCUGGUAGUAACAGUCUGGGCCAACAUGUUCGCCUUCGUUUAAGUCUAUCACUUGACUCCAAGCUUCCUUGCAAAGAUGACUUGAAAUGUCUAAAAUCAGAUAAAGACAAAGAAAACCAGUUAUCACUUGAGGCCGCAGAUGGCAAGGAUUACCAUAAUUCCGGGGAAUUUAAAAGUACUCUUCCCCUUGGAGAAACAUCAACAGACAACCCUCCCCCUGGUGGAAAUUGGAGAAUUUGGCCUUUCUCCUUGAGGAGAUCAGGAUCAAGAAAUUCUUUGCCGCCUAUUCCAAGUGAUGCAAAAAAUAAUACUCUUGGAGAUUCCUCAAAGAAUACAUUUAGCCCAGACAUGAACAAAAAUGAGCUAAAAUCCAAUCUAAAGAGAAGGAGAGUUAGGGAAACAACUCCAACUUCUGAACAGGUAGCAUCGUUGAAUCUGAAGGAAGGGAGGAACACUGUAACCUUCACUUUCUCUACAGCUAUGCUGGGGAAGCAGCAGGUUGAUGCUCAAAUAUUCUUGUGGAAAUGGAACGCUCGUAUAGUGAUCUCAGAUGUGGAUGGGACAAUUACAAGGUCAGAUGUUCUUGGUCAAUUCAUGCCUUUGGUUGGCGUUGACUGGUCACAGACAGGUGUUGCACAUUUAUUCUCUGCUAUCAAGGAGAAUGGUUACGAACUACUUUUUCUCAGUGCUCGGUCAAUUUCUCAGGCCUAUCUUACACGACAAUUCCUACUCAACCUUAAACAGGAUGGUAAAGUUCUACCAGAUGGUCCUGUUGUUAUUUCCCCUGAUGGACUUUUUCCCUCUCUAUAUCGUGAAGUUAUUAGGAGGGUUCCUCAUGAAUUCAAAAUCGCAUGCUUAGAGGGCAUCAAGGCACUUUUUCCUUCUGAUUGCAAUCCGUUCUAUGCUGGUUUUGGAAAUAGGGACACUGAUGAAAUCAGCUACCUUAAGGUUGGAAUCCCUAUAGGAAAAAUCUUCAUUAUUAAUCCCAAGGGAGAGAUAGUGGUAAACCGAAGUCUUGACACAAAAUCAUACACUUCUCUGCAUGCUCUCGUGAAUGGAAUGUUCCCUCCUACGAACUCAACAAACUCUUCUGAGCAGGAGGAUUUUAAUACAUGGAAUUACUGGAAGCUAUCCCUUCCUGCUAUAGAUAUUUGAUAGAGCCCUGUGGCUUUUGGCUUACCUUGAUGGGGACAUGGAUGGGUGCAGCCUGUGCUGCUCUUAGAUUAGAUGGGUGAUAUGUCUGUUAGCCCCAUCAGAACCUCAUCCUGUUGUGGAUUGAUUUAAUUUAUGGAAGCUCAUGAUUUGGUGGAUGAAAUUCUUAUAAGAGCUGGAUGGAACUUCUUCCCCUUUUUGAUGCUGUUAGAUCAGAUCUAGUUUUUUCCCCUUGCUUAGUUCAUGUGAACCCAUGACCACUAAAGCCAUGGAGUCUCAUGUAUUUGACAUCAUUUCUCGAUGAUGGAUUAGUGUGGUCAAGUCCUUUUCAUGAUGACAUAAUUUGUAUAUGAUUGUGUUGUAGUGUGUAAAUUAUGUGAUCCUGAAUGACUCUUCUCAGUUUCAUUUUUCCAUCAUAUAGAAAAGCUUAUUCUUGGUUAUCA